GAUGAACGCUGGCGGCGUGCCUAAUACAUGCAAGUCGAACGCUUCACAUAUGUGAAGAGUGGCGAACGGGUGAGUAAUACAUAAGUAACCUGGCCUUUACAGGGGGAUAACUAUUGGAAACGAUAGCUAAGACCGCAUAGGUGUCAUAACCGCAUGGAGAUGAUAUGAAAUAUGCUACGGCAUAGGUAGAGGAUGGACUUAUGGCGCAUUAGCUAGUUGGAGGGGUAACGGCCCACCAAGGCGACGAUGCGUAGCCGACCUGAGAGGGUGACCGGCCACACUGGGACUGAGACACGGCCCAGACUCCUACGGGAGGCAGCAGUAGGGAAUUUUCGGCAAUGGGGGAAACCCUGACCGAGCAACGCCGCGUGAAGGAAGAAGUAAUUCGUUAUGUAAACUUCUGUCAUAGAGGAAGAACGGUGCGUGUAGGGAAUGACAUGCAAGUGACGGUACU
rnacentral:rRNA from 1 species